rnacentral:rRNA from 1 species
GAUAAACGCUGGCGGCGUGCCUAACACAUGCAAGUCGAACGCCCUUAGCAAUAAGGGAGUGGCGGACGGGUGAGGAACACGUGGGUCAUCUACCUUGGGGUGAGGAAUACCACCGGGAAACCGGUGACAAUACCGCAUACGCUUCUUCCGGGAAGCAAAGCCUUCGGGCGCCACAAGAUGAGCCUGCGGCCGAUUAGUUUGUUGGUGGGGUAAUGGCUUACCAAGACCGCGAUCGGUAACUGGUCUGAGAGGACGGUCAGUCACACUGGGAUUGAGAACGGCCCAGACUCCUACGGGGGGCAGCAGUGAGGAAUUUUCGUCAAUGGGGGAAACCCUGAACGAGCAACGCCGCGUGCAGGAUGACGGCCUUCGGGUUGUAAACUGCUUUUCUCUGGGACGAGAACGGACGGUACCAGAGGAAUCAGCUCCGGCUAACUACGUGCCAGCCGCCGCAGUAAAAC